rnacentral:rRNA from 1 species
AGUGAACGCUGGCGGUAGGCCUAACACAUGCAAGUCGAACGGCAGCACAGUAAGAGCCUGCUCUUACGGGUGGCGAGUGGCGGACGGGUGAGGAAUACAUCGGAAUCUACUUUUUCGUGGGGGAUAACGUAGGUAAACUUACGCUAAUACCGCAUACGACCUACGGGUGAAAUCAGGGGAUCUUCGGAUCUUGCCCGAUUGAAUGAGCCGAUGUCGGAUUAGCUAGUUGGCGGGGUAAAGGCCCACCAAGGCGACGAUCCGUAGCUGGUCUGAGAGGAUGAUCAGCCACACUGGAACUGAGACACGGUCCAGACUCCUACGGGAGGCAGCAGUGGGGAAUAUUGGACAAUGGGCGCAAGCCUGAUGCAGCCAUACCGCGUGGGUGAAGAAGGCCUUCGGGUUGUAAAGCCCUUUUGUUGGGAAAGAAAAGCAGCAGGUUAAUACCCCGCUGUUCUGACGGUACCCAAAGAAUAAGCACCGGCUAACUUCGUG